CCUACGGUGGGCAGCAGUGAGGAAUAUUGGUCAAUGGGCGCGAGCCUGAACCAGCCAAGUAGCGUGAAGGAUGACUGCCCUACGGGUUGUAAACUUCUUUUAUAAAGGAAUAAAGUGAGGCUCGUGUGCCUUUUUGUAUGUACUUUAUGAAUAAGGAUCGGCUAACUCCGGGCCAGCAGCCGCGGUAAUACGGAGGAUCCGCGCGUUAUCCGGAUUUAUUGGGUUUAAAGGGCGCGUAGAUGGGUUGUUAAGUCAGGUGUGAAAGUUUGCGGCUCAACCGUAAAAGUGCAAUUGAUACUGGCAGCCUUGAGUACAGUAGAGGUAGGCGGAAUGCGUGGUGUAGCGGUGAAAUGCCUAGAUAUCACGAAGAACUCCGAUUGCGAAGGCAGCUUACUAAACUGCCACUGACAUUGAUGCUCGAAAGUGUGGGUAUCAAACAGGAUUAGAUACCCGUGUAGUC
rnacentral:rRNA from 1 species